rnacentral:rRNA from 1 species
UGGGGAAUAUUGCACAAUGGGCGAAAGCCUGAUGCAGCAACGCCGCGUGAGGGACGACGGCCUUCGGGUUGUAAACCUCUUUUAGCAAGGAAGAAGCGAAAGUGACGGUACUUGCAGAAAAAGCGCCGGCUAACUACGUGCCAGCAGCCGCGGUAAUACGUAGGGCGCAAGCGUUAUCCGGAAUUAUUGGGCGUAAAGAGCUCGUAGGCGGUUUGUCGCGUCUGCUGUGAAAACCCGAGGCUCAACCUCGGGCCUGCAGUGGGUACGGGCAGACUAGAGUGCGGUAGGGGAGAUUGGAACUCCUGGUGUAGCGGUGGAAUGCGCAGAUAUCAGGAAGAACACCGAUGGCGAAGGCAGAUCUCUGGGCCGUAACUGACGCUGAGGAGCGAAAAGGGUGGGGAGCAAAACAGGCUUAGAUACCCUGGUAGUCCACCCCGUAAACGUUGGAACUAGUUGUGGGUCCAUUCCACGGAUUCCGUGACGCAGCUAACGCAUUAAGUUCCCCGCCUGGGGAGUACGGCCGCAAGGCU